rnacentral:rRNA from 1 species
AUACGUAGGGGGCAAGCGUUAUCCGGAUUUACUGGGUGUAAAGGGAGCGCAGACGGCUUAGCAAGUCUGAAGUGAAACCCCACGGCUCAACCGUGGGCUUGCUUUGGAAACUGUUAGGCUAGAGUACUGGAGAGGUAAGCGGAAUUCCUAGUGUAGCGGUGAAAUGCGUAGAUAUUAGGAGGAACAUCGGUGGCGAAGGCGGCUUACUGGACAGCAACUGACGUUGAGGCUCGAAGGCGUGGGGAGCAAACAGGAUUAGAUGCCCUGGUAGUCCACGCGGUAAACGAUGAAUACUAGGUGUUGGGUGUCAUAGACAUUCAGUGCCGUCGCUAACGCAAUAAGUAUUCCACCUGGGGAGUACGUUCGCAAGAAUGAAACUCAAAGGAAUUGACGGGG